GACAGAGGGUGCAAACGUUGUUCGGAAUUACUGGGCGUAAAGCGUGUGUAGGCGGUCCUGUAAGUCGGGUGUGAAAGCCCAGGGCUCAACCCUGGAAGUGCACUCGAAACUGCAAGGCUAGAGUACCGGAGAGGUUGGUGGAAUUCUCGGUGUAGAGGUGAAAUUCGUAGAUAUCGAGAGGAACACCGGUGGCGAAGGCGGCCAACUGGACGAGUACUGACGCUGAGACACGAAAGCGUGGGGAGCAAACAGG
rnacentral:rRNA from 1 species